CCAAUAGCGUAUAUUAAAGUUGUUGCAGUUAAAAAGCUCGUAGUUGAAUUUCGGGAUCAGUAGGUUGGUCAUGCCUCUGGUAUGCACUGGCCUCACUGGUUCCUCCUUCCUGAUGAACCGUAAUGCCAUUAAUUUGGUGUUGCGGGGAAACUGGACUGUUACUUUGAAAAAAUUAGAGUGUUUAAAGCAGGCUAACGCUUGAAUACAUUAGCAUGGAAUAAUGAAAUAGGACGUUCGAUCCUAUUUUGUUGGUUUCUAGGAUUGACGUAAUGAUUAAUAGGGAUAGUUGGGGGCAUUAGUAUUCAAUUGUCAGAGGUGAAAUUCUUGGAUUUAUUGAAGACUAACUACUGCGAAAGCAUCUGCCAAGGAUGUUUUCAUUAAUCAAGAACGAAAGUUAGGGGAUCGAAGACGAUCAGAUACCGUCGUAGUCUUAACCAUAAGCUAUGCCGACUAGGGAUCGGAUGAUGUUAAUUUUUUAAUGACCCAUUCGGCGCCUUACG
rnacentral:rRNA from 1 species